UACGGGGGGAGCAAGCGUUGUUCGGAUUUACUGGGCGUAAAGGGCGCGUAGGCGGCCACCGCAAGUCGACUGUGAAAUCUCCGGGCUUAACCCGGAAAGGUCAGCCGAUACUGCGGGGCUAGAGUGCAGAAGGGGCAACUGGAAUUCUCGGUGUAGCGGUGAAAUGCGUAGAUAUCGAGAGGAACACCUGCGGCGAAGGCGGGUUGCUGGGCUGACACUGACGCUGAUGCGCGAAAGCUAGGGGGAGCGAACGGG
rnacentral:rRNA from 1 species